ACAAUACGAGAUUUUAACUAUUUGUACUGCCUUAUAAAUAUAUAAGAGUUGUGAUAACAAAGUGGAUAUGACCUCUGCCUCCGAUUCCGGAGGGUGAGGUUUCGAAUCCGGUCCGGGGCAUGCGCCUCCAACGUUGCAGUUGUGUGCAUUUAUGUGUGAAAAUUAAAUAUCACGUGUCUCAAACGGUGAAAGAAAAAUAUCGUGAGAAAACGUGUGGAAAUUCUCCACCACACAAGGUAGACCGAUGACUUGCGACUCAGUAUCGUGGUGUUUGGAAGUCCUUCAAGAGGCCUACGAGUAUGUCUAGAAAUUUAUUUAUUUAUUAUCUUAAGUUAAAACUAACUUUACACGAACAACCUAAUUCGCUAGCUUAGCACUAUAUUAUAAUAAUUCUAAAACUUAAUUCUAUUUACCUAAAUAUAUACUUAUCUACAUUAAAAACUAAUAUUACUUGCUCGCUAACUUAGCACUACAUUAUAAUAAUUCUAUUUACCUAAAUAUAUAAAUUUGAACUAACACUAGUGGUAGAAAUUAAAGUGUAGCUACGAUAGCUGUCCUGCUUCAUUUUAUCCUUUCCCCUAUCUUCCAUCUCACGUUACGCACGUUCGCCUGCUGCGAUCGACAAUGGUUGGAGUCGCCCCGCUAAUUCGUUGAGAGCUGGUCGUGCGCACGCUGAGAAAUAUUUUACCGCCAUCACAAAAAGCCGUGUACGCGUGUGUUUUGUGGAUAAAUCAUUAAAAACCAACAAGUUGAGUGCUCCUUAUAAAUAAUAGACUGUGAAUCAAUUUUGCUUGUUUUGUGUUGCCACGCACCCGCUGUUUAAGUCUUAUGGUGGACGCAUCCUGGACAAAAGAACGGGUCGAAGAUCACGUGAGUUCCUUCCUAUCCCGUAUCUUAUCAUUCCGGGUGUAUUCCAACGAAGCUAUCGAUCGAAGUUAACGUAAAUUACCACCAUAACAUUUUUUGGUCCUUCGAGCCGGAUUUGUACUAUAAUUUCGUUGUCUAACCUACCUCCGUUGUGACGUACUAAGUUCGCUAUUUCUUAUUUCGUAUUAUAUUUUUAUAUUAUUGUUAUAAUAUACUAUUCCGCACAUAUAUAUAUUUAUUAUAAUCGAAGAAUAAGAUGUUUUCUUCGGUUAGUUCCGCUAUAUAAAUAAAAUCGAUACGCUAAUUACGCUAAACUAUUACGCCGCGUCAUAACUAGUAGGUAGGUACAUAACGGUACAUACUCCGAAUUCAUUCAUUCAUUCGUUACGAGAAACGAAGUAUUCCAUUUUAUAGCAUAAAUCUUUUGAUACUUAUAAUAGAUUUCAAGUAACUUUUUGUUGACAUCUUAAUAUAACGCUAUUUGUUAAUAUUUUUUAACACUUAUUUAAAGAAGAAGUAUUUACUUUCUUUUAUUUAAUUAAUUUACAAAUUAAUAUUUCAUCAUGAGUAAAAAAGAAGUCUUGCCCGCAAGCUACAGCGCAGAUGAAUGCCAUCUCAAGCUGUUAGAAGCGAAGAAAGAAAUGAUGUUUAGCCGCUUACAAGGUAUUUACGACUUGACAUUACUAGUUAGCGAUGACAGUAGCAAACUACCUUCGUUAUUGGUACAGGCAGCCAAUAUAGACGUUUUGCGUAAGGAGUUUGAAUUAAAUUUGGAUCAGUAUACUAUGGCGCAAAUGAAAGUAAAUCCAAACGCUGUUAUCAGUUAUCAAAGUUGGAACGCAUUUGAGGAAAUGUUUUGUUUUAUUAAAAAAUCUUUGGAACCCUAUUAUCAUAGUAAAAAUGAUUCUACAAAACCUUGUCUUUCUAAAUUUCCCACAAUGAAAUCCAGUCUCCCUGCUAUUGAAUUACCCGACUUUUCGGGAGAUUCGUCUCACUGGCAGCUAUUCUAUGAACAAUUCAAGAAUUUAAUACAUAAUAACCCAACGCUUUCUGACAGUGAAAAAGUGUGUUAUUUAGUUGGAAAAUUGAAAGGUUCUGCGGCAUCCGUGUGCGCAGGGUUGCCAGUAUCGGGUGAAAAUUAUUCUAUUAUAUGGAAAAAUUUGAUAGACAAGUAUGACGAUCCUCGUUCAUUGGCUGGUACAUAUGUAAAUCAACUUUUGAAUUUUAAAUCAUUAAAUAAUAAUACCGCUUCUGGUCUCGAAUUAUUUUUAAAUUCUUUCAACUCCUCCGUCGACGCUCUUAAACAAUUAAAAUUGGAUAAUUUAACAGAUUUUUUCCUAUUACAUCUCGCACUUCUGAAGCUUGAUCCCGAAACGGUGAAACUUUUUGAAAUAACUUAUCGCAAAGAAAAAAUUCCUUCUUACGGACAAUUAGUAGAAUUUGUCAAAGAACAAAGUAAGGUUCUUUCUAGAGGAUGUAAUAGUAAACCAUCUGAUUCGCACGUUUCAACUAAACCUCAUAAUAAAAAAUCGCCUAUCGCAAAAUUUACUAAAUCUUUUGUGAAUACGGAGUCUAUUCAAAACUCUAAAGACUCUAAAUGUAUUUUAUGUAAAAAUGAAAAGCAUAAUCACUUAUAUAAAUGUCCGAAUUUCAUGAAAUUAACGCCGCAAAAACGAUUUCAAGUAGUAAAAAAUAAUUCUUAUUGUACUAACUGCUUAAGCACUCUUCAUAAAACCGCCUCUUGCUUAUCGACUCACAAUUGCGCUCAUUGUAACCAGAGACAUUCGUCUCUGUUAUGUUUUUCUCACGCAAAUAAAUUUAAUUAUAGUGAUCCGGUUAAUAUAAACACGGCACAAAACGCAACGCACUCUCAUUCUAUAUCGCUACCCGCUAAUAAAACCGCUAACUCUCAUAAUAAUUUUAAUUGUUACGCUAAUAUACCCGCUGAUGUAGCUACACAAAAAGCUAAAAAUGAGUCGAAUAAAGACUCGUCCGUUAAUGGACACACAUCGCUAUGUACAAUUUCUCGUGAUUUUCAUGAACGCAACGCAACUACAUUGUUAGGUACCGCUAAAAUAAAAGUUAUUGAUAACUAUGGCCGCACUCACUUUCUGCGAUGUCUAGUAGACCCUGGCUCGCAGAGUGAUUAUAUUACUAUAGCUUCUUGUAAAAAAUUAUCGCUUCCUGUAUAUUCACAAAAUCGCUUUACAGAAGUACAGGGCAUAGGUGGGACUUCUCAAAAAAUACUUGGGAUUUCUAAUUUGAAAUUCACCUCACGCUUCGAUGACACCAAAGUAUACGAUAUACGCCCUCUGGUGGUAGAAGGUAUUACUUCUCAACUGCCUGAUGCUAAAGUAAACUUGUCCGCACUAGAAAGCUUGAUAAAAAAUAUUCCAUUAGCCGAUGACAGUUUUUCAGAACCAGGUUGUGUUGAUUUAUUAAUUGGUGUUAAAUUAUAUUGCGAUAUUUUGCUUUUUAAUAAAAUUACCGCUGAGAAUAGCUCACCGUCUGCUAUAGAAACCUCGCUCGGUUACGUCAUCAUGGGCGACGCGCCGAUCGCUUCUGGGCUUAUAUCUACUUCUGCCUUUUGCGCUUUCAGUCGUGAACCUCUAGAUAAUCUCUUAGAGAGGUUCUGGAAGGUAGAAGAAGCUCCUCAUCAGAAAUUUUUGAGUCCCGAAGAGCAGGAAUGUGAAAAAAUAUAUGUCACAACGACUACUCGUAAAACUGAUGGCAGUUUUAUUGUAUCUCUUCCCUUUAAGGAAGACCCGGUUCGCUUGGGUAACUCUUAUAUACCCGCUAAGAGAAGGUUUCUCAACCUUGAGAAGAAGUUUAAUAACUCACCUGAUUUAAGAAUAAAAUAUAACGAAGUUAUUCAAGAUUAUUUAGAUAAGGGUAUUCUUUCUAAGGUUUCUCCUCAAGAAAGCAUUAUGCCUGGUUUUUACUUGCCUCAUAGGCCUGUUAUACGGGACGACAAAGCGACUACCAAACUUGGAAUUGUUCUAGACGCUUCUAUGAAAACUGAUGUUAAUAUAUCUUUAAAUGAUAUACUUCAUACAGGCUGCAACUUGCAAGCUGAAAUAUUUAAUAUUCUAAUAAACGUUCGCCUCUUUAAAAUCGCUUUUUUCGCAGAUGUGAAACAAAUGUAUUUAUGUAUUGAAGUUCUCCCCGCUCAUCGUAAAUUUCAGCGAAUUUUAUUUAGAUUUUCUAAUAAUGAACCACUAGAAAUCUACGAGUUUAAUCGCGUUACUUUCGGAUUGCGUUCGUCUCCUUUUUUAGCGCUUCGCACGUUACGCGAAUUGGCUAAAAGAGAGAAGGAUAGAUGGCCCGCGGCUGCAGCGAUAAUCGAAAGAGAUGUUUAUAUGGACGACCUCGCUUCCUCUGCCUCUGAUCCUUCAGAAGCAGUAGAGAAGGCUGAGCAGUUGAUCCAAAUGUUUAAGUCCGGAGGGUUCGAUUUAAUUAAAUGGACUAGUAACUCUCCUGAAUUAUUACGUAACAUACCUCAAACGCACCGACAGUCUGAAGGAAUAUCGUUUGACGACGAACACACCUUUAAGAUUUUAGGAUUACAUUGGUUUCCCGUUCAUGAUAGUUUAAGUUUUUUUGUAUCUCCCCCCUCGCUCAAAUGGACGAAACGCUCUAUUCUCUCCGCAACUGCUAAACUCUACGAUGUCUUAGGACUCGUUGGGCCUGUGAUUUUAUACGCCAAAUUGAUAAUUAAGGAAUUAUGGAUUUUAAAGUUGUCAUGGGAUGAAACGCUCCCUUCUCAUAUUAUAGAGGCUUGGUUACAAUUUAUAGAUGAGCUGCCUCUUUUAUCAAAGCUUAAAAUUCCGCGACACCUUGGUGUAGAAAAUAACUCUAAUUUAUCUUUACUCGCAUUCGCCGACGCCAGUGAAAAGGCGUAUGGUUGUGUAAUUUAUACACACGUGACAAAUGGAGAUAAUAAACCUAUCAUUUCAUUAGUUUGCUCUAAAUCACGUGUGUCUUCUCCCUCUAGUUUAGUUACGCUGGCUAGACUAGAGUUAAACGCUCUUGUAUUACUUGCAAAAUUAGUUCGCAACGUAUAUGAUACUUUAAUAUCGCGACAACCUGUAGACAAUAUUUUUGUAUUUUCAGACUCUACUGUCGCUCUGUGUUGGUUAAAGUCCUCACCUCACAGAUUUCAAACUUACAUUGCUAAUAGAAUAUCGCAGUUUCAGGAACUAUUGUGUACCGAUGAUCUCUAUCAUAUUUCUGGUAUAGAGAAUCCUGCAGAUUGUAUAUCUCGUGGACUAUUGCCUUCGCAAUUAUUAACCCAUGAACUCUGGUUCAAUGGGCCAACAUGGGCUUCAUCGCCUAUUAAUCAAUGGCCCGUUCAGAAAUUCUCACCUAACACCUCUGCGCUUCCAGAACAGAAAUCUAUAUCUCUUGUCAUGCGAAGUGUAGAUGAACAUCCUUUACUGACGUUAAGUACUAAGUUUUCUUCUUGGCAUAAGUAUCUGAGAUCGGUUGUCUUUUUAUUGAAAUUUCUCAAGAAAUUACCUAAAGGAAUUCAUAUCACCGCGGAAGAUUUAAAUGUCGCAGAAACAAAAGUCAUUGAAGUUGUUCAAAAUACAAAUUUCUAUGAGGAUAUUCAAAAACUAAAAAAAGGAAUUUCGUGUUCGCGUGCUAUUCAAAAAUUAAAUCCGUUUAUUCGCGAUAAUAUUCUUCACGUAGGUGGUCGCUUAACUUAUUCCUCUUUAGAUUAUUGUCAUAAACAUCCGAUUUUAUUGCCUAGAAAAGGUCAUAUAAUCGAUUUGUUAAUUGAUUACUACCACCGUGAAAAUUUACAUGCAGGUCCUCAGAUUUUACUUUCUAUAACUAGACAAAAAUAUUGGAUUUUAUCCGCGAGGCGCGCCAUAAAACAACGCAUACAUAAAUGUAUCAAAUGCUAUAGAUUAAAUCCUAAGCAAAUAUUCCCGUUUAUGGCUAAUUUGCCGCCAUGUCGCAUAGAGCAGGCUAACGCUUAUACCUAUACAGGGGUGGACUUCACAGGUCCGCUCUACAUUACUCUAUGUAGAGGCCGAGGUAUACAUAAGCAAAAAGCUUAUCUUUGUAUCUUUAUAUGCCUGGUUACCAAAGCAGUUCACUUUGAACUUGCACCUGAUCUUAGUUCCGCUUCAUUUUUAAAUUUAUUUAAGAGAUUUAUCUCUAGAUCUGGUGCAAAUUGUAAAUUUAUAUAUAGUGAUAAUGGGACUAAUUUCGUUUCAUCGAAAGGAUAUUUUGAUGAAUUAUUUUCGCUAUUAAAAAGUGAUGAGUAUUAUAAGGAUUUUAGUACUGAACUCGCUAAACGCCGCAUAAUCUGGAAACUAAAUCCUCCCACUGGGAGCCAUUUUGGGGGCAUAUGGGAGAGCAACAUAAAAAGUGCAAAAUCCCUUCUUUUUAAAGUGAUAGGUAAGCAGAUUUUGACGUAUGAAGAGAUGCUUACAGUAGUUACGCAAAUUGAAGCGAUAUUAAAUAGUAGGCCGCUUUACCUUGCGAGUACGGACCCUUCUGAGCCUUCUGCUCUAACGCCAGCUCACUUUUUAUAUAGAGUGCCUUUAGAGUAUUUACCUGCGCCCGAUCUUAGUGGUGAAAAGGAACGGUUACUUAGUAGAUUUAUGCUUUUAGAUUCGCUAAUUCAAUCAUUUUGGAAACGCUUCCGGGUUGAGUACUUACACACCCUCCAAACACGCGAGAAAUGGAAUACUACGUCUCUUUCGGUUAAGGCAGGGACUGUGGUCCUUAUUAACGUAGAUAACGCUCCGCCCUUGCAAUGGCCAUUGGGCAUUAUAACACGCAUAUUCCCUGGCAAGGAUGGGAUUACUAGAGUCGCUGAAGUAAAGACUAAAACUGGACUCUUCAUUCGGCCUAUGGUGAAGCUUUGUCCUUUGCCUGCGCAAUAGACUAGUCUUACGUUAUUUUAAGUAAGUGUCUUAUUGUAUUAAAUAUCUAUUAAUUUAUCAGAAUUAUUUUAUUAUUAACUAUAUUAUUUAUCGCUAUUAAUAUUUAUAACUCAUAAAUAUUUGUCUCUAAGUACUUAUACGUAUAAUUUGUUUAUUUGUAUUAUGUACUUUCGCUAUUUUCUUUAUUUUUUUUAUUGCGAGCUUAGUAGCUCACAGACGGGGGAAUGGUAGAAAUUAAAGUGUAGCUACGAUAGCUGUCCUGCUUCAUUUUAUCCUUUCCCCUAUCUUCCAUCUCACGUUACGCACGUUCGCCUGCUGCGAUCGACAAUGGUUGGAGUCGCCCCGCUAAUUCGUUGAGAGCUGGUCGUGCGCACGCUGAGAAAUAUUUUACCGCCAUCACAAAAAGCCGUGUACGCGUGUGUUUUGUGGAUAAAUCAUUAAAAACCAACAAGUUGAGUGCUCCUUAUAAAUAAUAGACUGUGAAUCAAUUUUGCUUGUUUUGUGUUGCCACGCACCCGCUGUUUAAGUCUUAUGGUGGACGCAUCCUGGACAAAAGAACGGGUCGAAGAUCACAUAUCAAAGGGACGGGCGCGACCAAAUGUGUUCAAAUCAACCACUGCCUUCCAUCGUGUAUACGUCUAUUAGCUAACCAAGUAAUGGCAAGAAGUGAUACAUUGGUCAACGAAUGAUUGCUCGAGAUCCUCACUAGAUUAGAGUGCGCUGUGCGGUGCGCGGCGCGGAGUGCGGGGUGCGCGCCGCCUCUAUGCCGCAUCGACGCAGGUUCGACAUACACCGGGACGUCGCCAG